GACGAACCGAGCGAACGUUAUUCGGAAUCACUGGGCUUAAAGGGCGCGUAGGCGGGCGAUCAAGUCAGGGGUGAAAGCCCCCAGCUCAACUGGGGAAGUGCCUCUGAUACUGGUCAUCUCGAGGGAGGUAGGGGCGUGCGGAACUUCCGGUGGAGCGGUGAAAUGCGUAGAUAUCGGAAGGAACACCGGUGGCGAAAGCGGCGCGCUGGACCUCGUUCUGACGCUGAGGCGCGAAAGCCAGGGGA
rnacentral:rRNA from 1 species